UUCACAGUCUGUAAGUAAUAUAGGCCUAUACAAUCUUUGGUAAGGGGGGAUUUUUACCAACUUCAGCCUUGCCUAUAUACCUGUAAGCCAAAGCCACUCAUUUUUGGGGGAUUUUAUCACCAACAAAUUUGGCAAGCGCGCACCUCGCUGCAGGACAGAGUCAGAGGAGGUGUCCUGAUUUCUGAUUCAACACCAACUGUGACUGAAGUCCAUGAAGACGCGCAGAGGGCACGAGGGAGGACACGCGCUUCCACACAGAUCAUCACCUUCAUCAUCAUCUUCCUCAUCCACCGUGAAGUGGAAACUUAUUCCUCAUUUUUUUCUGUUACACUGUGUCUCCUCAGGUCCCGUGUGUGUGUCUACUGUGGUUUUAAUCCUGCGUGGUGGUCCCGCUCCUCACUGGCCUUUACCGUGCUGCUGG